rnacentral:rRNA from 1 species
UCGGGAAUUUUGGACAAUGGGCGCAAGCCUGAUCCAGCCAUGCCGCGUGCAGGAUGAAGGCCUUCGGGUUGUAAACUGCUUUUGUACGGAACGAAACGGCCUUUUCUAAUAAAGAGGGCUAAUGACGGUACCGUAAGAAUAAGCACCGGCUAACUACGUGCCAGCAGCCGCGGUAAUACGUAGGGUGCAAGCGUUAAUCGGAAUUACUGGGCGUAAAGCGUGCGCAGGCGGUUAUGUAAGACAGUUGUGAAAUCCCCGGGCUCAACCUGGGAACUGCAUCUGUGACUGCAUAGCUAGAGUACGGUAGAGGGGGAUGGAAUUCCGCGUGUAGCAGUGAAAUGCGUAGAUAUGCGGAGGAACACCGAUGGCGAAGGCAAUCCCCUGGACCUGUACUGACGCUCAUGCACGAAAGCGUGGGGAGCAAACAGGAUUAGAUACCCAAGUAGUCCCUGAGCGGGCUGGCAAGGCGCAU